AGCGAACGCUGGCGGCAGGCUUAACACAUGCAAGUCGAGCGGACCUUUCGGGGUCAGCGGCGGACGGGUGAGUAACGCGUGGGAACGUGCCUUCCGGUUCGGAAUAACCCUGGGAAACUAGGGCUAGUACCGGAUACGCCCUUAUGGGGAAAGGUUUACUGCCGGAAGAUCGGCCCGCGUCUGAUUAGCUAGUUGGUGGGGUAACGGCCUACCAAGGCGACGAUCAGUAGCUGGUCUGAGAGGAUGAUCAGCCACACUGGGACUGAGACACGGCCCAGACUCCUACGGGAAGCAGCAGUGGGGAAUAUUGGACAAUGGGCGCAAGCCUGAUCCAGCCAUGCCGCGUGAGUGAUGGAGGCCUUAGGGUUGUAAAGCUCUUUUAUCCGGGACGAUAAUGACGGUACCGGAGGAAUAAGCCCCGGCUAACUUCGUG
rnacentral:rRNA from 1 species